AACGAACGCUGGCGGCAGGCUUAACACAUGCAAGUCGAACGCCCCGCAAGGGGAGUGGCAGACGGGUGAGUAACGCGUGGGAACCUACCCAAUUCUACGGAACAACUGAGGGAAACUUCAGCUAAUACCGUAUACGCCUACGGGGAAGGAUUAUCGAGUGGAUGGGCCGCGUUGGAUUAGCUAGUUGGUGAGGUAACGGACUCACCAAGGCGACGAUCCAUAGCUGGUCUGAGAGGAUGAUCAGCCACACUGGGACUGAGACACGGCCCAGACUCCUAC
rnacentral:rRNA from 1 species